AUUGAACGCUGGCGGCAGGCCUAACACAUGCAAGUCGAACGAGUGGCGGACGGGUGAGUAAUGUCUGGGAAACUGCCUGAUGGAGGGGGAUAACUACUGGAAACGGUAGCUAAUACCGCAUCCCAUCGGAUGUGCCCAGAUGGGAUUUGCUAGUGGGUGGGGUAACGGCUCACCUAGGCGACGAUCCCUAGCUGGUCUGAGAGGAUGACCAGCCAAACUGGAACUGAGACACGGUCCAGAAGCCUACGGGAGGCAGGAGUGGGGAAUAUUGCACAAGGGGCGCAAGCCGGAUGCAGACAUGCCGCGGGUAUGAAGAAGGCCUUCGGGUUGUAAAGUACGUUCAGCGGGGAGGCGGGAAGAGAAGAAGAAGAACCGGCUAACUCCGUGCCAGCAGCCGCGGUAAUAG
rnacentral:rRNA from 1 species